AUGCUUUCCGUCCGCCCGCCAGCACCUCCCGGGCGGUCGGAGGACGCGGMGAGCUGGGGUCGGAGGCUGGCGGGUGGGUUAAACACCCAGCAGYGUGUUUGUGCCCACGUAGGGGCCGUGCAGGGCACGACGCGGGUCCCGUAUCUCACUGCAAGGUGUCCCAUAGACCGACACGUCCCCGCGACGUCCCCAUCCUCCGCGGGGUGGGAAGGGACAGCUGCCGGGGCGUCCUGCCCGCACCGGGAGCCCCCGAACGGAGCCCGCGGCCGGCGGGGACAAACCGCCCGCUCCGAGGCUGCCCGGGCUGCCGGCGACCGAGGAGUCGCUCUGGUUUCACAGAGCGAGGAGGGGACGGAGCAGCUGCCGGGCCGGCGAACAAGGCCAGCGCCGGCUGCACGCGGCUCCCGGCGCUUUUCCCUAGGGAAGAAGGCUACAGGGCCUGUCAGGCCGCGCUGCGCACAGCAGUGGGCACGUCCUCGGGGCGAAGCAAACCGCCGAGGUGCACGGCGUGCUGAGCGUGCGACCUGCCCCGGGAGGAGGACACCGAGCAGGGUCCCUCUGCCAGCCGGCACCAGAGCAACCCUUUUCCAGAGCCAAGCGACGGCCCCGUCACCAUCCCCAGCGCUUCCUCAUCCCCCUGUGCCAAAACAGCUCCUAAAUGGCCCUGAGGCUGCUGCUGGCUUCCCCCUUGGGAUUUCCAAGUGCAGGGGUCCUUGGCGGGGCAAGGAGGGGAAGGAAAGGGGAGCACCCGGGGUGCCGGGAGGUGGGUCCCUGCCCGCCCCAAGUGCCAAGGUUUGCACGCAGCUGCCGCAGACCCCAGCUGGGUCCUGCCGCCCUCCGAGGGCCCGGCCAGCCGCCGGCUCCGUCCGCACCUCCGGCACGGCGCCCUCGGGAACGACCGUGCAAGGAGCCCUGGAGAGCCGCCGGCCGGGGCAGCUCGGAGGGAGGCUGGGGAAGGGACGGACAGACGGAGCCUGCCGCAGGGCAGGAUGGAGCCGGGCGGGCAGAGGGAGYGGGGCCCAGGCAGAGCCACCGCUGUUUCAAGAAACGUACAUUUAG
rnacentral:lncRNA from 1 species